GAGGGACAGGGUGACACUCCCUGUCAGCGAUUCCAUUAUUAUGUCGGUUGGAGCCAACGAUCAUCUAUCCACAGCGUGCAGCGACUACCAGACUCAUAAACAUCCUCAACCUUUUUCUAAAGACCUGAGAGAGCUUCUUAGACCCUGAUGACACGGCACACUUCAGAAUGAUCAGGGGAACUUGAUGGAAAUGGGGUUGUCCUUACAAACCACCACACUGCUUGUUGUUGCGCCCCUCCCUCGUCCUGCGGAAACCCUGAUAAGGAUAAGUGGAAGAGGAUGGAUGGAUGAUGGAUGGGAGUAG